rnacentral:tRNA from 1 species
GGAAGGUAGCCGGAUACGGUUGGCCGGGCCGGUUUGCUAAACCGGUUUCCUGAAUAUCAAAGGAAUGCGAGUUCGAAUCUCGCACCUUCCGC